UACGUAGGGAGCAAGCGUUGUCCGGAAUUACUGGGCGUAAAGGGCGCGCAGGCGGUUAUGUUAGUCUGCUGUGAAAAGCAUCGGCUUAACCGGUGUCUUGCGGCGGAUACUGCAUAGCUUGAGUACUGGAGAGGGAAGUGGAAUUCCUAGUGUAGCGGUGAAAUGCGUAGAUAUUAGGAGGAACACCAGUUGCGAAGGCGGCUCUCUGGACUGUAACUGACACUGAGGCAUGAAAGCGUGGGGAGCAAACAGGAUUA
rnacentral:rRNA from 1 species